ensembl:lncRNA
CAUUUUUGGAUAUUAAAAAUCAGAGCUUAUGACAAUGAUCGGGUGCAUUCUACCACUGGAACACUAACUGUCAUUUUACAGGAUGUAAAUGAUAACCCACCACAGUGUACUCAGGACCGUUAUGUAAUUGAACUUCCUGAAAAUCCACUUGAAACUCGUUUAGUGUCUUUAAUUUGUACUGAUAAGGAUGGAACGGAUCCCAAUAAUAACAUCACUUAUCACUUGAUCGUGGACAAAUUUUCAAAUGAAAUAUUUACCCUCACCAACAAUGAAAUAAAAAUUGGGCCUAAACAACUGAAUUAUGAUAAUUUUGUUCUUGCUGGGAUGCAAUUUAAAUAUACUCUUUUUGUAAGAGUAUCUGAUGGAGGCACUCCAGAAUUAUCAAGAAACACAAACAACUGGUUCACGCUAGAGAGACCAGGUGUUGAUCCUCCUUCUUUGGCCACCACUGAGAAUUUCCAGUAUGAUGUGUUUCAAGGGAUUCAAGAUCCCACUACUUUCCAGCUACUUAUUGAAGUUACUGAUGAAUUAGGUGGGCAUAAAGCUAGUCAGCUGUCAACCACUACAACCGUAAUAAUUCAUAUGUUGCCCUGGACUACCACUCAGCCAACUAUAGCCACAAAAACAACAAUUACAACAACAGUUACUACAUCUAUAUUAAUGAGAAUUUCACAUUAUUGGAGCCCUGAUAAUUGGAUUUCUGCAGUGAUAACUAUAACAGUGCUCCACGCUGUUCAAGAUUCUUUCCCAGUUGUGACCAGCAUCAAAUGAGCCAGCCAAGUGUUACGGCUAAGGAAAUCAUCCAGAUGCCAAGGAACAUGGACUCAUUUAAUAGUCAACAAAAGUCAAAUCCAAAGCCAAC